AGGAUGAAUGCUGGCGGCGUGCCUAAUACAUGCAAGUCGAGCGGUAAGGCCCUUCGGGGUACACGAGCGGCGGACGGCUGAGUAACGCGUGGGAACAUGCCCCAAAGUGAGGGAUAAGCAUCGGAAACGGUGUCUAAUACCGCAUAUGGUCUUCGGAUUAAAGGAUUUAUCCGCUUUGGGAGUGGCCCGCGUACGAUUAGGUUGUUGGUGAGGUAAUAGCUCACCAAGCCUACGAUCGUUAACUGGUCUGAGAGGAUGAUCAGUCAGACUGGAACUGAGACACGGUCCAGACUCCUACGGGAGGCAGCAGUAAGGAAUCUUCCACAAUGGGCGAAAGCCUGAUGGAGCAACGCCGCGUGCAGGACGAAGGCCUUCGGGUCGUAAACGUGCUUUAUGAGUGAAGAAUAUGACGGUACUCAUGAAUAAGCACCGGCUAACUACGUGCCAGCAGCCGC
rnacentral:rRNA from 1 species